GACGAACGCUGGCGGCGUGCUUAACACAUGCAAGUCGAACGAUGUGGAGAACGGGUGAGUAAUACGUGGGUAACCUGACCUCCUUUUUGGGAUAAGACUUGGAUACAGGGUCUAAUACCGACUUAAGGGGGAUGGGCUGGCGGCCUAUCAGAUUGGUGGUGGGGUGAUGGCCUACCAAGGCGGUGACGGGUAGACGGCCUGAGAGGGUGACCGGCCACAUUGGGGCUGACAUACGGCCCAGACACCUACGGGAGGCAGCAGGGGGGGAUAUUGCACAAUGGGCGAAAGCCUGAGGCAGCGACGCCGCGGGGGGGAUGAAGGCUUUCGGGUUGUAUACCUCGUUCGCUAGCGAACGGGUAGGUAGAGAAGAAGCGCCUGCUAACUACGUGCCAGCAGCCGCGGUAAUUC
rnacentral:rRNA from 1 species